AACGAACGCUGGCGGCAGGCCUAACACAUGCAAGUCGAGCGGAUGAGAGGAGCUUGCUCUUUGAUUCAGCGGCGGACGGGUGAGUAAUGCCUAGGAAUCUGCCUGGUAGUGGGGGACAACGUUUCGAAAGGAACGCUAAUACCGCAUACGUCCUACGGGAGAAAGUGGGGGAUCUUCGGACCUCACGCUAUCAGAUGAGCCUAGGUCGGAUUAGCUAGUUGGUGAGGUAAUGGCUCACCAAGGCGACGAUCCGUAACUGGUCUGAGAGGAUGAUCAGUCACACUGGAACUGAGACACGGUCCAGACUCCUACGGGAGGCAGCAGUGGGGAAUAUUGGACAAUGGGCGCAAGCCUGAUCCAGCCAUGCCGCGUGUGUGAAGAAGGUCUUCGGAUUGUAAAGCACUUUAAGUUGGGAGGAAGGUCAGUAGCUUAAUACGUUGCUGAUUUGACGUUACCGACAGAAUAAGCACCGGCUAACUCUGUGCCAGCCGCCGCCGUAAAAC
rnacentral:rRNA from 1 species